rnacentral:tRNA from 1 species
GGCCCCAUAGUGAAGCGGUUAACACACCAGCCUUUCACGCUGGAGACGGGGGUUCGAAUCCCCCUGGGGUCACCA